CAUUUAACAAUUGUAUAUAUGCUAUCUACUACAUAUUUUGUUGUAUAGUAUGCAGCUAUCUACAGAAAGAACGUUAUCUACCUAUGUAUAUCAUACUACAAGUAAUGUUUUUUAGGAAUGUGAAAUAAAUAAUUUAGUCAAUAUUUUAGCAUAUAACAAGUCAGUUUAAGUAUUAUUUUUUAAAUUUAAGAUGAGUUUUUUUACUGUGAGUUAUUUUUACUGGCACAUCCUUGGAAAUAAAGAUAUGUGUGCACAAUUUUUAAAAGAACGAGAAUUACGUAUAUCCAAGAUUACAGGGGACAGGGCUGAAACUCAAACCAUCAAAAUUCUUUGGAAACGCGUAAAAAAUAAGUAUAACAUUAAAUCAUGCAGAGCAACUGACUUGUUAAAAUAUCAACAUCAAGAAGACGGUCGAUUCUUGAUUUGACAAAAAAAAAUAUAUUUUAAUCCAAAUUUCAACAUAAACAGCAAUUUAAACAUUGAUAUAAUUGUUGAACAAUUAAUUUUUUAUUAUGUAGAUAGAAUAUCAAACAGAUGCUAUACUUAUAUACAUUGAUUAUUGGUAACUGAGCAGAACAUUGAUGAUGCAGCUACUUGUGACCAGCUACCCGGAGCUGCACCAAUAUCUAUUACACACUGGCCUGGUUUCAAUAAAGAAAAUCUAUCAUCCAUUUGCAAUAGUUUGAAUGCACUUCUACAUCUGUAUUAAAAAUAUAAAACAAAUAUUUUAUUGUUUUUUUUUUCUGUAGCAUUUUGUUUGCCUAUUUUGUUAAUGAUAGUCACAUUAAACUAGUAUGAUCAAUUAAAUAUACUAUACGAUUAAAAAAAAAAUUAUUAAACUUCAUCUACAAUACCUAUAA